GACGAACGCUGGCGGCGUGCUUAACACAUGCAAGUCGAACGGAAAGGCCCUGCUUGCAGGGUGCUCGAGUGGCGAACGGGUGAGUAACACGGGGGUGCUCUGCCCCUUACUUUGGGAUAAGCCUGGGCAACUGGGUCUAAUACUGGAUAGGACCAUGCUGUAGGUGGUGUGGUGGGAAGAUUAGUUUCGGUAAGGGAUGAGGUCGCGGCCUAUCAGCUUGUUGGUGGGGUAAUGGCCUACGAAGGCGUCGACGGGUAGCCGGCCUGAGAGGGUGGACGGCAAGAUUGGGACUGCGACACGGCCCAGAAUCCUACGGGAGGCAGCAGUGGGGAAAAGUGUAAAAUGGGCGCAAGCCGGAUGCAGCGACGCCGCGCGGGGGAUGACGGCCUUCGGGUUGUAAACUACUUCCAGCCAUGACGAAGCCCUUGUGGUGACGGUAGUGGUAGAAGAAGCACCGGCUAACUACGUG
rnacentral:rRNA from 1 species